AUUGAACGCUGGCGGCAGGCCUAACACAUGCAAGUCGAGCGGAGCGGCGGACGGGUGAGUAAUGCCUAGGUGUCUGCCUGGCAGUGGGGGAUAACGUACGGAAACGGGCGCUAAUAUCGCAUACUAUCAGAUGGGCCUAGGGUGGAUUAGCUAGUUGGUGGGGUAAAGGCUUACCAGGGCGACGAUCCGGAGCUGGUCUGAGAGGAUGAUCAGUCACACUGGAACGAUGACACGGUCCAGACUCCUACGGGAGGAAGCCGUGGGGAAGAUUGGACAAUGGGCGAAAGCCUGAUCCAGCCAUGCCGCGUGUGUGAAGAAGGGCUUCGGAUUGUAAAGCACUUUAAGUUGGGAGGCGUUACCUGCAGAAUAAGCACCGGCUAACUUCGUGCCAGCCGCCGCGGUAAUAC
rnacentral:rRNA from 1 species